rnacentral:rRNA from 1 species
UACGUAGGGUGCGAGCGUUGUCCGGAAUUAUUGGGCGUAAAGGGCUCGUAGGCGGUUUGUCGCGUCGGGAGUGAAAUCCACUGGCUUAACUGGUGGCUUGCUUUCGAUACGGGCAGACUGGAGGUAUGCAGGGGAGAACGGAAUUCCUGGUGUAGCGGUGAAAUGCGCAGAUAUCAGGAGGAACACCGGUGGCGAAGGCGGAUCUCUGGGCCUUACCUGACGCUGAGGAGCGAAAGCAUGGGGAGCGAACAGG